rnacentral:tRNA from 1 species
UGUUAAGUAGUUUAUUAAAACAUUAAAUUGCAAAUUUAAAAAAGGGGAAAAUCCUUUAACAU